rnacentral:rRNA from 1 species
UUAAAAAGCUCGUAGUUGGAUUUCUGGUGUGUCCAGUCGGCCUUUGCUCUUUGAGUGAUUGCGCUGUACUGGUCUGCUAUGUUUGGGUGGAAUCUGUGUGGCAUUAAGUUGUCGUGCAGGGGAUGCCCAUCGUUUACUGUGAAAAAAUUAGAGUGUUCAAAGCAGGCUUAUGCCGUUGAAUAUAUUAGCAUGGAAUAAUGAUAUAGGACCUUGGUACUAUUUUGUUGGUUUGCGCACUAAGGUAAUGAUUAAGAGGGACAGUUGGGGGUAUUUGUAUUCCAUUGUCAG